CGGCCCCAGCGCGGGCGGGCCCGGCCGCAGGGCGCAGGCGCAGCGCUCCGGCCGCGCUCGGAGUCACAGCUCUGAGGGGGUUUUAAGGGUAUAAAAUGUGUCUCCCAGCGCUCUCUCGUAAGGGCUGCAGCGCUGACCUUUAAAUGCAUCACAUAUCGUCUUUGAGUUCACACCGAGCCUUUGCCGCUCUCGGAAAUAACAGAGCGGGAGGCUCUGUGCAGGCCCAGACAACUCUAGGAAUGGAGAAGAAAAAAAACCCAAACAUUUUCAAAAUACUUUUGAUAGCUGAUGUAUCCCUAGUUUGUACCUAGAGGAGGUUGUGGUGAUACAGUUCCGGAGAUCAAUGGUGCUCGUUGGUGCCGAGGAUCUUAAAGCUUGGAAAGAAGUGGGGAGUCCUUGUGGUUUGCCUUAAUAGAGCAAUUAAUCAUAGCUCAUUUCAUCCCACUCCCCUGCCAUGGGAAGGGACACCUUCCACUAGACCUGGUUGCUCCAAGUCUCAUCCAACCUGGCCUUGAACAUUUCCAAAGAUGGGACAUCCACAGCUUCUCUGGGCAGCCUGUGCUGGGUCCUCACCACCCUCAAAGGGAAAAACUUCUCCUAAUAUCUAAUAUAAACCUACUCUCUUUUAGUUUGAAGCCAUUUUCCCCUUGUUCUGUCACUCCAUGCUCUUGUAAUGGUCUCUCUCUGUCUUUCCUUCAGGUUCCCUGCAGGUACUGGAAGACCACAAUUAUGACACCCCAAAGCCUUCUCUUCUCCGGGCUGAACAAUCCCAAUCGCCUCAGCCUUUCCUCGUAGGGAGGGCACUCCAUCUCUUCAUCUAUUAUAUUCCAGCACUCUGGAAAAAGAAUGAUUUCCCAGGAGAAAAUGAAGGACUUGUAAGAGACAAAUGUGUACGUUGCAAUUGUUAUUGUAGAAAAAUAUUAUAAAAUAAAAAUCAGUAAGCACAAAC